AACGAACGCUGGCGGCAUGCCUAACACAUGCAAGUCGAACGAGACCUUCGGGUCUAUUGGCGCACGGGUGCGUAACGCGUGGGAACCUGCCCUUAGGUUCGGACUAACUCCCCGAAAGGGGUGCUAAUACCGGAUAAUGUCUUCGGACCAAAGAUUUAUCGCCUUUGGUUGGGCCCGCGUUGGAUUAGCUAGUUGGUAGGGUAAAAGCCUACCAAGGCGACGAUCCAUAGCUGGUCUGAGAGGGUGAUCAGCCACACUGGGACUGAGACACGGCCCAGAAUCCUACGGGAGGCAGCAGUGGGGAAUAUUGGAAAAUGGGCGAAAGGAUGAUCCAGCAAGGACGCGUGAGUGAUGAAGGCCGUAGGGUUGUAAAGCUCUUUUACCCGGGAUGAUAAUGACAGUACCGGGAGAAUAAGCUCCGGCUAACUACGUG
rnacentral:rRNA from 1 species